rnacentral:misc_RNA from 1 species
UCAGGCAGUGACAAAGUCACACCUUUGCUCGAAGGAACAACAUGGGCAACAAAGGAGCUCUUGGAGUUUGUAGCACACAUGAAAAAUGGAGACACAUCUGUGCUAUCUCAGUUUGACACCCAAGGUCUUUUACUGGAAUACAUAAAAAGAAACAAUCUUCGUGAUCCUCGACAGAAAUGUCAAAUUGUUUGUGAUUCAAGGCUCGUGACUCUGUUUGGAAAGCCACACGUGGCUUUC